AAAUUGAAGAGUUUGAUCAUGGCUCAGAUUGAACGCUGGCGGCAGGCCUAACACAUGCAAGUCGAACGGUAACAGGAAGCAGCUUGCUGCUUUGCUGACGAGUGGCGGACGGGUGAGUAAUGUCUGGGAAACUGCCUGAUGGAGGGGGAUAACUACUGGAAACGGUAGCUAAUACCGCAUAACGUCGCAAGACCAAAGAGGGGGACCUUCGGGCCUCUUGCCAUCGGAUGUGCCCAGAUGGGAUUAGCUAGUAGGUGGGGUAAAGGCUCACCUAGGCG
rnacentral:rRNA from 1 species